rnacentral:rRNA from 4 species
UGCAGCAGAGCUCCGACCUUCGGGGACGAGCGCUUUUAUUAGACCAAAACCAAUCGGACCUCGUGUCCGUCCUUUGUGGUGACUCUGUAUAACUUUGGGCUGAUCGCACGGGCCUGUCCCGGCGACGUAUCUUUCAAGUGUCUGCCUUAUCAACUUUCGAUGGUAGGUUACGCGCCUACCAUGGUCGUAACGGGUAACGGGGAAUCAGGGUUCGAUUCCGGAGAGGGAGCCUGAGAAACGGCUACCACAUCCAAGGAAGGCAGCAGGCGCGCAAAUUACCCACUCCCAGAACGGGGAGGUAGUGACGAAAAAUAACAAUACGGGACUCUUUUGAGACCCCGUAAUUGGAAUGAGUACACUCUAAAUCCUUUAACGAGGAUCCAUUGGAGGGUAAGUCUGGUGCCAGCAACCGCGGUAAUUCCAGCUCCAAUAGCGUAUAUUAAAGUUGUUGCGGUUAAAAAGCUCGUAGUUGGAUCUCAGUUCCAGACGGGUGGUCCGCCUACCGGUGGUUACUGCCUGUUCUGAACAGUCAGCCGGUUUCUCUUGAUGAUCUUCACCGGUUGUCUUGGGUGACCGGCAAGUUUACUUUGAAAAAAUUAGAGUGCUCAAAGCAGGCGUGACGCCUGAAUAAUGGUGCAUGGAAUAAUGGAAUAGGACCUCGGUUCUAUUUUGUUGGUUUUCGGAACACGAGGUAAUGAUUAAGAGGGACAGACGGGGGCAUUCGUAUUGCGACGCUAGAGGUGAAAUUCUUGGACCGUCGCAAGACGAACUACUGCGAAAGCAUUU